AGGACGAACGCUGGCGGCGUGCUUAACACAUGCAAGUCGAACGGAAAGGCCCGCUUGCGGGUACUCGAGUGGCGAACGGGUGAGUAACACGUGGGCAACCUGCCCUCAGCUCUGGGAUAACACCGGGAAACCGGUGCUAAUACUGGAUAUCAACUUCUGUCCGCAUGGGUGGUUGUUGAAAGUUUUUUCGGCUGGGGAUGGGCCCGCGGCCUAUCAGCUUGUUGGUGGGGUAAUGGCCUACCAAGGCGACGACGGGUA
rnacentral:rRNA from 1 species